rnacentral:rRNA from 1 species
CUGUUUGCCAAACGGCACGCGCACGCGACACCCGGCUUUAACCGCCAUGCCUUCUGGCAGGAGAUAGUCAAAGGUACGAGGAAGCGGAACGGGCAAGGCAACGUGGGCAACGGGCAUAGCAUCAUCCUGACUUGAAAUUCGGUGGGUUAGUAUACACAUUGCCGUAGAAGAGUGCGGAUCAGUUUGCAUAUGCUGGUUAAUUUCUGUAUGAUUUCGCGCCUUCGUACGAAAUGAUCGUAUUGAAGCUAUACUUUUAACAUCGCGUGGUGUCUGGCGUUAGGGCUGGAAGAGCGACGCGGCCUUAAACCGAGGUUUUCCCAUGAAAAAAGAUAUUCACCCGAAAUACGAAGAAAUUACUGCUAGCUGCUCUUGCGGUAACGUAAUGAAAAUCCGCUCCACCGUUGGUCAUGACCUGAACCUCGACGUGUGCAGCAAGUGCCACCCGUUCUUCACUGGCAAACAGCGUGAUGUUGCUACCGGUGGCCGUGUUGACCGCUUCAACAAGCGUUUCAACAUCCCGGGCAGCAAAUAAGACCGGAUUUCCGAAAAAAGCGCCGCACGGCGCUUUUUUUGUGCCUGUAAUUUGCCUUUUAUAAAUUCUGAAAAAUUCCGGGGUGUUAACUCAUUAUCAUUUCCUGUUGUUGACUGGCGCUAGGCUUCUGGUUCUUAUUUAUUUCAAAAGGAUUUUACGAUGAGCGGAAAACCGGCGGCGCGUCAGGGCGACAUGACGCAGUAUGGCGGUAGCAUUGUUCAGGGUUCAGCCGGGGUGCGCAUUGGUGCCCCCACCGGCGUGGCCUGUUCGGUGUGCCCCGGCGGAGUGACGUCCGGCCAUCCGGUCAAUCCCCUGCUCGGUGCAAAGGUCCUUCCCGGUGAAACCGACAUCGCCCUGCCCGGCCCGCUGCCGUUCAUCCUCUCCCGCACCUACAGCAGUUACCGGACAAAAACGCCCGCGCCGGUGGGGAGCCUCGGCCCCGGCUGGAAAAUGCCUGCGGAUAUCCGCUUACAGCUGCGCGAUAACACACUGAUACUCAGUGAUAACGGCGGCAGAAGCCUGUAUUUUGAGCACCUGUUUCCCGGUGAGGACGGUUACAGCCGCAGCGAGUCACUCUGGCUGGUGCGCGGCGGCGUGGCGAAACUGGAUGAAGGUCACCGGCUGGCCGCACUCUGGCAGGCGCUGCCGGAAGAACUCCGCUCAAGUCCGCAUCGUUAUCUGGCGACAAACAGUCCGCAGGGGCCGUGGUGGCUGCUCGGCUGGUGUGAGCGGGUGCCGGAAGCGGAUGAGGUGCUGCCUGCGCCGCUGCCGCCGUACCGGGUACUGACCGGGCUGGUGGACCGCUUCGGGCGCACACAGACGUUCCACCGCGAAGCCGCCGGUGAAUUCAGCGGCGAAAUCACCGGCGUGACGGAUGGUGCCGGGCGUCACUUCCGGCUGGUACUGACCACGCAGGCGCAGCGGGCAGAAGAAGCCCGGCAGCAGGCCAUUUCCGGCGGGACGGAACCGUCCGCUUUUCCUGAUACCCUGCCGGGUUACACCGAAUAUGGCCGGGACAACGGCAUCCGUCUGUCUGCCGUGUGGCUGACGCACGACCCGGAAUACCCGGAGAAUUUACCUGCCGCGCCGCUGGUGCGCUAUGGCUGGACGCCGCGCGGCGAACUGGCGGUGGUGUAUGACCGUAGUGGCAAACAGGUGCGCAGCUUUACUUACGAUGAUAAAUACCGGGGCCGGAUGGUGGCGCACCGUCACACGGGCCGGCCGGAAAUCCGUUACCGUUACGACAGCGACGGGCGGGUGACAGAACAGCUAAACCCGGCAGGCUUAAGCUACACGUAUCAGUAUGAGAAAGACCGCAUCACCAUCACCGACAGCCUGAACCGCCGUGAAGUCCUGCACACGCAGGGUGAAGGCGGGCUGAAGCGGGUGGUGAAAAAGGAACACGCGGACGGCAGCGUCACGCAGAGUCAGUUUGACGCGGUGGGCAGGCUCAGGGCACAGACGGAUGCCGCAGGCAGGACAACAGAAUACAGCCCGGAUGUGGUGACGGGCCUCAUCACGCGCAUCACCACGCCGGAUGGCAGGGCAUCGGCGUUUUACUAUAACCACCACAGCCAGUUAACGUCAGCCACCGGGCCUGACGGGCUGGAAAUACGCCGGGAAUAUGAUGAAUGGGGCCGUCUGAUUCAGGAAACUGCCCCUGACGGCGAUAUCACCCGCUACCGUUAUGAUAAUCCACACAGUGACUUACCCUGCGCAACGGAAGAUGCCACCGGCAGCCGGAAAACCAUGACGUGGAGCCGUUACGGUCAGUUGCUGAGCUUCACCGACUGUUCCGGUUAUGUAACCCGUUAUGACCAUGACCGCUUCGGGCAGAUGACGGCGGUGCACCGCGAGGAAGGGCUGAGUCAGUACCGCGCAUACGACAGCCGUGGACAGUUAAUUGCCGUGAAAGACACGCAGGGCCAUGAAACGCGGUAUGAAUACAACGCCGCCGGUGACCUGACCACCGUCAUUGCCCCGGACGGCAGCAGAAACGGGACACAGUACGAUGCGUGGGGAAAAGCCAUCUGUACCACGCAGGGCGGUCUGACGCGCAGUAUGGAAUACGAUGCUGCCGGACGGGUCAUCCGCCUGACCAGUGAAAACGGCAGCCACACCACCUUCCGUUACGAUGUACUCGACCGGCUGAUACAGGAAACCGGCUUUGACGGCCGCACACAGCGUUAUCACCACGACCUGACCGGCAAACUUAUCCGCAGCGAGGAUGAGGGGCUGGUCACCCACUGGCACUAUGACGAAGCAGACCGCCUCACGCACCGCACCGUGAAGGGUGAAACCGCAGAGCGCUGGCAGUAUGACGAACGCGGCUGGCUGACAGACAUCAGCCAUAUCAGCGAAGGGCACCGGGUGACGGUGCAUUACGGGUAUGAUGAGAAAGGCCGGCUGACCGGUGAGCGUCAGACGGUGCAUCACCCGCAGACGGAAGCACUGUUCUGGCAGCAUGAGACCAGACACGCUUACAACGCGCAGGGGCUGGCGAACCGCUGUAUACCGGACAGCCUGCCCGCCGUGGAAUGGCUGACCUAUGGCAGCGGCUGGCUGGCAGGCAUGAAGCUCGGCGACACACCGCUGGUGGAUUUCACCCGCGACCGCCUGCACCGGAAAACGCUGCGCAGAUUCGGCCGUUAUGAACUCACCACCGCUUAUACCCCUGCCGGGCAGUUACAGAGCCAGCACCUGAACAGCCUGCAGUAUGACCGCGAUUACACCUGGAACGACAACGGCGAACUCAUCCGCAUCAGCAGCCCGCGCCAGACCCGGAGUUACAGCUACAGCGACUCCGGCAGGCUGACCGGCGUUCACACCACCGCAGCGAAUCUGGAUAUCCGCAUCCCGUAUGCCACGGACCCGGCAGGUAACCGCCUGCCCGACCCGGAGCUGCACCCGGACAGCACCCUCAGCAUGUGGCCGGAUAACCGUAUCGCCCGUGACGCGCACUAUCUUUACUGGUAUGACCGUCACGGCAGGCUGACAGAGAAAACCGACCUCAUCCCGGAAGGGGUUAUCCGCACGGAUGAUGAGCGGACUCACCGGUACCAUUACGACAGUCAGCACCGGCUGGUGCACUACACGCGGACACAAUAUGAAGAGCCGCUGGUCGAAAGCCGCUAUCUUUACGACCCGCUGGGCCGCAGGGUGGCAAAACGGGUGUGGCGACGUGAACGGGACCUGACGGGCUGGAUGUCGCUGUCACGGAAACCGCAAGUGACCUGGUACGGCUGGGACGGCGACCGGCUGACCACAAUACAGAACGACAGAACCCGCAUCCAGACGAUUUAUCAGCCGGGGAGCUUCACGCCACUCAUCAGGGUUGAAACCGCCACCGGUGAGCUGGCGAAAACGCAGCGCCGCAGCCUGGCGGAUGCGCUUCAGCAGUCCGGCGGCGAAGACGGUGGCAGUGUGGUGUUCCCGCCGGUGCUGGUGCAGAUGCUCGACCGGCUGGAAAGUGAAAUCCUGGCUGACCGGGUGAGUGAGGAAAGCCGCCGCUGGCUGGCAUCGUGCGGCCUGACUGUGGCGCAGAUGCAAAGCCAGAUGGACCCGGUAUACACGCCGGCGCGAAAAAUCCACCUGUACCACUGCGACCAUCGCGGCCUGCCGCUGGCCCUUAUCAGUAAGGAAGGGGCAACAGAAUGGUGCGCAGAAUACGAUGAGUGGGGCAACCUGCUGAAUGAAGAGAACCCGCAUCAGCUGCAGCAGCUUAUCCGCCUGCCGGGGCAGCAGUAUGAUGAGGAGUCCGGCCUGUAUUACAACCGCCACCGCUAUUAUGACCCGCUGCAGGGGAGGUAUAUCACUCAGGAUCCGAUUGGGCUGA